GCUGACGAGCGGCGGACGGGUGAGUAAUGCUUGGGAAUGUGCCUUAUGGUGGGGGACAACAGUUGGAAACGACUGCUAAUACCGGAUGAUGUCUACGGACCAAAGUGGGCGACCUUCGGGCCUCACGCCAUAAGAUUAGCCCAGAUGGGAUUAGCUGGUUGGUGAGGUAAUGGGUCACCAAGGCGACCAUCCCUAACUGGUUUGAGAGGAUGAUCAGCCACACUGGGACUGACACACGGUCCAAACUCCUACGGAAGGCAACAGUGGGGAAUAUUGCACAAUGGGGGCAAGCCUGAUGCAGCCAUGCCGCGUGUGUGAACAAGGGCUUCGGGUUGCAAAGCACUUUCAAUCACGAGGAAAGGUGAAGUGUUAAUAGCACUUAACUGUGACGUUACUUACCGAAGAAGCACCGGCUAGCUCCGUGCCACCCCGCGCGGUAAUACGGAGGGUGCCAGCGUUAAUCGGAAUUACUGGGCGUAAAGCGUACGCAAGCGGUUUGUUGAGCCAUAUGUGAAAAACCAUGGGGCUCAACCUG
rnacentral:rRNA from 1 species